rnacentral:lncRNA from 1 species
AAAAUAGCAGGUUUUGGAAAAAUUAUUUAAAAAUUAUAACCUAUAGAUCAAAAAUUCUCAAAGCAUACCCAUCUAUCAACAAAAACUCUUGUUAUCGUAAUAUAUAAAUCACAAUCUCAAAUCCACAAUAUUUAUCUACAAAAUGAUAACUUUCCAAAAAUACCAGGUUUUAGAAAAUUUAUUUUAAAAAUAUACCCUAUUGAUAAAAAAAUUCUAAAAGCAUACCCAUCUAUCAACAAAAACUCCCGUUAUCCUAGUUUCUAAAUCACAAUCUCAAAUCUACAAUAUUUCUCUACAAAAUUAUAAUUUUCCAAAAAUAGCAGGUUUUGAAAAAUUUAUUUAAAAAUUGUAA